GAUGAACGCUGGCGGCGUGCCUAAUACAUGCAAGUCGAGCGAACAGAUGAGGAGCUUGCUCCUCUGACGUUAGCGGCGGACGGGUGAGUAACACGUGGAUAACCUACCUAUAAUACUGGGAUAACUUCGGGAAACCGGAGCUAAUACCGGAUAAUAUAUUGAACCGCAUGGUUCAAUAGUGAAAGACGGUUUUGCUGUCACUUAUAGAUGGAUCCGCGCCGCAUUAGCUAGUUGGUAAGGUAACGGCUUACCAAGGCAACGAUGCGUAGCCGACCUGAGAGGGUGAUCGGCCACACUGGAACUGAGACACGGUCCAGACUCCUACGGGAGGCAGCAGUAGGGAAUCUUCCGCAAUGGGCGAAAGCCUGACGGAGCAACGCCGCGUGAGUGAUGAAGGUCUUCGGAUCGUAAAACUCUGUUAUUAGGGAAGAACAAAUGUGUAAGUAAAUAUGCACGUCUUGACGGUACCUAAUCAAAAAGCCACGGCUAACUACGUG
rnacentral:rRNA from 1 species